GAUGAAGAACGUAGCGAAAUGCGAUAAGUAAUGUGAAUUGCAGAAUUCAGUGAAUCAUCGAAUCUUUGAACGCACAUUGCGCCCAUUAGUAUUCUAGUAGGCAUGCCUGUUCGAGCGUCAUUAAGUCCACUUAAGCCCUGCUUAGUGUUGGGAGACUGCUCCAGCGGUGCUACCCUGUAGCUACCCUGCAGCUCCUCAAAGACAGCGGCGGAGUUGUGGUAUCCUCUGAGCUUAGUAACUUGUUCUAGCUUUCGAGUACACCACUUCCCCUGCCGUAAAACCCUUAAUUUUUAAUGGUUGACCUCGGAUCAGGUAGGAAUACCCGCUGAACUUAAGCAUAUCAAUAAGCGGAGGA
rnacentral:misc_RNA from 1 species